rnacentral:lncRNA from 1 species
CGCUCUGGAAGCAGCCAGCGCGCGCUAGGGGCCCUGGAUGAGGACCGCGUCUGUGACACACCGCCCACCCCUCAUCCCCGAGGCGGGCACCCGGGAACCUGGGCGGCUCCAUCCUUUCGUCUCGCCCUCCCCGCGCCGUGUACCUAGAAACAACCAGCAGAGGGGAAGAGGAGCCCGCGGGAAGAACCGCAGGCGAGACGGAGAAUGAGGGCCAUUCAGGGUGUGACAGCCGCCUCGGCGAGGCUUAGAGGGACUCACCAGGCAGAUACGCAGGUCAGCUGGUCGAGCAAAAGUAGGCCUGCAAGACGUCGUGAUGUGAUGGCAGGGGACGACACAAUGCCUGCGUGAGGAGAUGCAGUGAGAUUGAAAUAGUUCUUCAAGUUCGAGAAGACAGAAGCAAAAUGAAAUUUGAGUAACAAACAUUGUCUCUGUUGAUAGCUGACAUAAAUGAAUAUUCCCCCUGAACAGUAUGACUAUUUCUACCCAUCCUUGUAUUUCUCUUUCUCUGAACAUAGCUUUAAAAAUCCCAAAUCUUUUUUUACUACUGUUUUAGAGUAUUUAGUAAACAUAACCAUAUCGUGAGCUUUGUUAUCCAGACACCAUUAUUUCUU